rnacentral:rRNA from 1 species
GACGGAGGAUGCAAGCGUUAUCCGGAAUGAUUGGGCGUAAAGCGUCCGCAGGUGGCAGUUCAAGUCUGCUGUCAAAGACCGGGGCUUAACUUCGGAAAGGCAGUGGAAACUGAACAGCUAGAGUAUGGUAGGGGCAGAGGGAAUUCCUGGUGUAGCGGUGAAAUGCGUAGAGAUCAGGAAGAACAUCGGUGGCGAAAGCGCUCUGCUGGACUGCAACUGACAUUGAGGGACGAAAGCUAGGGGAGCGAAUGGG